GAUGCAGGCCAAGCAGCUGCGGAGGUGAUGCAGCCUUCGAGGAAAGUCCGGACAUCACAGGGCAGGGUGGUUGGUAACGCCGACCCGGGGAAACCCGCGGGAAAGUGCCACAGAAACGACACCGCCUAAGCCUGGAGCCGCUGCAGAGCUUCAGGCCGGUAAGGGUGAAAUGGUGCGGUAAGAGCGCACCAGCGUCGCGGUGACGCGGCGGCUGGGCAAACCCCACCCGAUGCUAGGCCAAGUAGGACCGUUUGUAGGUGGCCCGCCAAGGUCCGGGUAGGCCGCGCAGAUGGAUAGCUGCUCACGGGCCAGGUCUCGAACCCGGCCCCGGACAGGAUCCGGCUUACAGGCCUGCUAAG
rnacentral:RNase_P_RNA from 1 species